UGACGAGCGGCGGACGGGUGAGUAAUGUCUGGGAAACUGCCUGAUGGAGGGGGAUAACUACUGGAAACGGUAGCUAAUACCGCAUAAUGUCGCAAGACCAAAGUGGGGGACCUUCGGGCCUCAUGCCAUCAGAUGUGCCCAGAUGGGAUUAGCUUGUAGGUGGGGUAACGGCUCACCUAGGCGACGAUCCCUAGCUGGUCUGAGAGGAUGACCAGCCACACUGGAACUGAGACACGGUCCAGACUCCUACGGGAGGCAGCAGUGGGGAAUAUUGCACAAUGGGCGCAAGCCUGAUGCAGCCAUGCCGCG
rnacentral:rRNA from 1 species